CGGACGGGUGAGUAACACGUGGAUAACCUACCUAUAAGACUGGGAUAACUUCGGGAAACCGGAGCUAAUACCGGAUAAUAUUUUGAACCGCAUGGUUCAAAAGUGAAAGACGGUCUUGCUGUCACUUAUAGAUGGAUCCGCGCUGCAUUAGCUGGUUGGUAAGGUAACGGCUUACCAAGGCAACGAUGCAUAGCCGACCUGAGAGGGUGAUCGGCCACACUGGAACUGAGACACGGUCCAG
rnacentral:rRNA from 1 species